rnacentral:rRNA from 1 species
CGACCGGCGCACGGGUGAGUAACGCGUAUGCAACCUGCCCGUUUCAGCGGGAUAACCCGGAGAAAUCCGGCCUAAUACCGCAUGUGGCCGAGGGAGGCAUCUUCUUUCGGCCAAAGGAGGCGACUCCGGAGACGGAUGGGCAUGCGUGACAUUAGCUAGUUGGCGGGGUAACGGCCCACCAAGGCGACGAUGUCUAGGGGUUCUGAGAGGAAGGUCCCCCACACUGGUACUGAGACACGGACCAGACUCCUACGGAAGGCAGCAG